AUUUACGAAGAGUUUGAUCGUGGCUCAGGAUGAACGCUGGCGGCGUGCCUAAUACAUGCAAGUCGAACGGGAACCCUUUGGAUUCGUCUAGAGGGGGAGAGUGGCGAACGGGUGAGUAACACGUAGGCGACCUGCCCCGAAGACGGGGAUAACCACUAGAAAUGGUGGCUAAUACCCGAUGUGCUCGGCGAUUCGGUUCGUCGAGUAAAGCUCCGGCGCUUCGGGAUGGGCCUGCGGCCUAUCAGCUAGUUGGUAGGGUAAUGGCCUACCAAGGCAAAGACGGGUAGGGGGCGUGAGAGCGCGACCCCCCACACUGGCACUGAGAUACGGGCCAGACUCCUACGGGAGGCAGCAGUCGGGGAUAUUGCGCAAUGGACGAAAGUCUGACGCAGCGACGCCGCGUGGGCGAUGAAGGCCUUCGGGUUGUAAAGCCCUUUUAUGGGGGAAGAGACAAGGACGGUACCCCAAGAAUAAGCGUCGGCUAACUACGUGCCAGCAGCCGCGGUAAAACGUGGGACGCGAGCGUUAUCCGGAUUUACUGGGCGUAAAGAGCGUUGAGGCGGUUCCGUAAGUUGGACGUGAAAGCCCC
rnacentral:rRNA from 1 species